UACGAAGGGUGCAAGCGUUACUCGGAAUUACUGGGCGUAAAGCGUGCGCAGGCGGUUUUGUAAGCCAGAUGUGAAAUCCCCGGGCUUAACCUGGGAACUGCAUUUGUGACUGCAUGGCUGGAGUGCGGCAGAGGGGGAUGGAAUUCCGCGUGUAGCAGGUGAAAUGCGUAGAUAUGCGGAGGAACACCGAUGGCGAAGGCAAUCCCCUGGGCCUGCAC
rnacentral:rRNA from 1 species